rnacentral:rRNA from 1 species
UACGUAGGGGGCUAGCGUUGUCCGGAUUUAUUGGGCGUAAAGAGCGUGUAGGCGGCCAGGUAGGUCUGCUGUGAAAACUCGAGGCUCAACCUCGAGACGUCGGCGGAAACCAUCUGGCUAGAGUCCGGAAGAGGAGAGUGGAAUUCCUGGUGUAGCGGUGAAAUGCGCAGAUAUCAGGAAGAACACCCGUGGCGAAGGCGGCUCUCUGGGACGGUACUGACGCUGAGACGCGAAAAGCGUGGGGGAGCGAACAGGAUUAGA